GUGUUUGCAAACAUUCUUCUGCAUUCUGAGCAGCUGCUCCAUUCAUUCAUGUUUUUGUUGCUUUUUGUUUACUAUUCAUGAACAUCUGGACUAUUAAGAUUCUGCACAAAUGUUUGAAGAAUUGCGGUUUUCUAUAUUAAUACCUGCAUAGCCAUCGUGAAGAGGGUUUAUAUCCUGAUGGGUGCCAGAUGACAGACUCCUCCACAUUUCAAUCCUGAUACAAGCAUGCAGAAAGAUGUGAGAGUUGGAACUAGAGGCAAACACAGCUGCAACUUCCAAAAUAAAUUCUUUGCCCACACUGGCACAACAUUCACUGACCUGCAACCACUUAAACCAGCCAAUACUCA
ensembl:lncRNA